rnacentral:snoRNA from 1 species
AAGCUAGAUGAUGACGAUAUCAUCUCUUAUAUUCUUGCAGGGUUGGAUUCAGAUUAUAAUCCUCUGGUUGCAUCAGUUUCUGCUAGAGAUUUUAUUUCGUUGAGUGAUCUUUAUGCUCAACUACUCUCCUUUGAAG